UGGACCCCACCCCUCUACCACCUCCAUGCCCCCAGUGUGAGCUCUGGGAGGGGAAGCAGGCACCGGGCCAUCCUCAUGGGUCUUUCUCUAAGAACACUGCUGGGUAAAAGUUGCUGCUGCUGUGCUACAAGUGCAGGAGAAGAGAACUUGCGGAGGAGGAAGGCUGAGGAGGAGGAGGGGGUAGAGCUGGGAGGGUUCUGGGAAGUUGCUGCAUGCUUGAGGGGGGAGGCAAGAGAUGAGCUGGAGGAGUGAGGUGCUGGGAGACUGCCUCUAUGUGUGCGCAGCACACAGCUUAAAAGAAUUCAAGUUCCCAGGCCCAGAAGAGAUGAAAGUGAGGGAAUGUGGGAGUGACAGUGCUGGAUUCCUCCUCAGCUCCACUGAAAACUGGGAGCAGCCUGGAUUUCCAGCUUAUGGACCAGACUCUGCUAUGAUGCUGGUUACCUGGUUGCUCUGGCAAGUCCUUUGGCUGCCUUAUGCUUUAUUUCUCCUUCAAAAUAAGUACUAAUGAGGUUCAUCUCCUUAGUGAAGUAUUGAUAGUCCUUUGGAUUUAAAGGGAGCUUGUAAGAACAAAAUAGUAUGAGGAUUAUCACAACUGCUGUGCCAGAGGAUUGGAGGGGAAAACAUUGGUUAUGUCUCUCAAAGAGGCCAAAAGACGGCCAUGGGGAUUACAAAUGAGCAAAACCCCAUUUCAGUGUCCAGCAACUUGCUGGAAACAGUUCCCAAACUAAGGGCUGUGUUCAGAUGGCCACACUUUAAGAAAUCCCUCACAGGAAGCCUCCUCCAAAGGCAAAUACUCUCAGCUCAAUGACUGGCUGACAACUUUUUUGGGCUUUCUAAAUGCACAUAAGACAGCCAGAGCCAUCAGCAGGAAAAAAGCAGGAUUCUCCCCAAAAAGCCAUGGGAACCAUAAGCUGGGUGACUCACACAUGCACCAGUAGCAGGGAUGCCAACUCUGCUGCAAACAGAAAUGUUCACAUGAACCAUAGCCACCAUCCAAAGUUGGGAGUAAUCUUUUCCCCAAAAAGAAUGAAAUUAUCUUUUCUGUAGAAGAGAAGUUGAAAUGGUCACAAAGGGCAUAUGAAAGAGGGAGCAGGAGUAGUUUUAAUAAAAUAACACCUGCUAUGUUUUUCCUCUGGUAAAGGAAGAAGGGAAAUAAAUAAAAAAUAUGAAUGGCAAAAACCCCUUACAAUUGAUAAAAAGGAAAUAGCUAUACACACAGUUAAUAGCUAUAACGCACAGUUAAUCCCUGCAAUUCCUUGCUGCAAGGCUGAGGCUACAAUCCAACAGAGGAAAAAAAACCCACUUAAACAGGAUAAUGGAAACAUCCUGGGUUAUAGCAACAAGAGUAAACAAAAACUGUCAGUGUCAUUUUUUAAAGGAGUACACACACUUUCAACCAAGUAAGAAAAAGUUCCCCUGUGGUCCAUUUACUCCAAAAUUACAUGCCCUGCUGAACCAUUCUCUACUGCAGCCAGUGUGUCCUGCACCAGACAGGAUGCUGGUUUCAUGGACACUGUCCUGAUUUCAGGAAAUCAAGUAUUUCACUGUCCCCAACACUGCUAGGAAGGUGUGAGAAAAGGACUGUUCAACUGCUCUGUACCAGGCCAGCUCCCAUCACCCCAUCCCAUCCUAUCCUGCCAGCACAUUCUGCAUAACCAAGAAACUGCUGACUUUCCAACCAGAGGAGGUUUCUCCAUUAUGAAGGAGACUCAGGCACUCCAGAGAAGUCCACAAGGCCAUGUCAAUAAGCAAUGAUUUUUCUACAACCAGAGAUUAGAUGAGAAACUACAUUCUUCACUUCCACCUGCCUCUGACAGAUCUCUGUCCCUCUAGUACAGCACUUUCUGGACUAUUAUUAAACAGAGAUUCAGAAUCAGGCAAA